GAACGGUAGAGGGGGCAACCCCUCGAGAGUGGCGAACGGGUGAGUAAUAUAUCGGAACGUGCCCAGUCGUGGGGGAUAACGUAGCGAAAGUUACGCUAAUACCGCAUACGAUCUAAGGAUGAAAGCGGGGGACUCGCAAGAGCCUCGCGCGAUUGGAGCGGCCGAUAUCAGAUUAGGUAGUUGGUGGGGUAAAGGCUCACCAAGCCAACGAUCUGUAGCUGGUCUGAGAGGACGACCAGCCACACUGGAACUGAGACACGGUCCAGACUCCUACGGGAGGCAGCAGUGGGGAAUUUUGGACAAUGGACGCAAGUCUGAUCCAGCCAUUCCGCGUGCAGGAUGAAGGCCCUCGGGUUGUAAACUGCUUUUGUACGGAACGAAAAGGUUUCUAUUAAUACUAGGAGCUCAUGACGGUACCGUAAGAAUAAGCACCGGCUAACUACGUGCCAGCAGCCGCGGUAAUACGUAGGGUGCAAGCGUUAAUCGGAAUUACUGGGCGUAAAGCGUGCGCAGGCGGUUAUAUAAGACAGAUGUGAAAUCCCCGGGCUCAACCUGGGAACUGCAUUUGUGACUGUAUAGCUAGAGUACGGUAGAGGGGGAUGGAAUUCCGCGUGUAGCAGUGAAAUGCGUAGAUAUGCGGAGGAACACCGAUGGCGAAGGCAAUCCCCUGGACCUGUACUGACGCUCAUGCACGAAAGCGUGGGGAGCAAACAGGAUUAGAUACCCUGGUAGUCCACGCCCUAAACGAUG
rnacentral:rRNA from 1 species